rnacentral:rRNA from 1 species
GAUGAACGCUGGCGGCGUGCUUAACACAUGCAAGUCGAACGAUGAAGCCCAGCUUGCUGGGUGUAUUAGUGGCGAACGGGUGAGUAACACGUGAGUAACCUGCCCUUAACUCUUGGAUAAGCCUGGGCAACUGGGUCUAAUACCGGAUAGGAGCGUCCACCGCAGGGUGGGUGUUGGAAAGAUUUAGCGGUUUUGGAUGGACUCGCGGCCUAUCAGCUUGUUGGUGAGGUAAUGGCUCACCAAGGCGACGACGGGUAGCCGGCCUGAGAGGGUGACCGGGCACACUGGGACUGAGAGACGGCCCAGACUCCUACGGGAGGCAGCAGUGGGGAAUAUUGCACAAUGGGCGCAAGCCUGAUGCAGCGACGCCGCGUGAGGGAUGACGGCCUUCGGGUUGUAAACCUCUUUCAGUAGGGAAGAAGCGAAAGUGACGGUACCUGCAGAAGAAGCACCGGCUAACUACGUG